rnacentral:rRNA from 1 species
UACGGAGGGGGCUAGCGUUGUUCGGAAUUACUGGGCGUAAAGCGUGCGCAGGCGGUUAUUUAAGUCAGGUGUGAAAGCCCUGGGCUUAACCUAGGAAUUGCGCUUGAGACUGGAUAGCUUGGAGUGCGGCAGAGGGAGGUGGAAUUCCACGUGUAGCAGUGAAAUGCGUAGAGAUGUGGAGGAACACCGAUGGCGAAGGCAGCCUCCUGGGCCAGCACUGACGCU